rnacentral:rRNA from 1 species
GUCUUUUUGAAAAUAAUUUAAGGUUUGAUUUGCCCACUGAGGACUUGAAGGGCCGCGGUAUUUUGACCGUGCUAAGGUAGCAUAAUCAUUAGUUUCUUAAUUAGAAGCUGGUAUGAAGGAUUGGAUGAGAAAAUGACUGUCUCUUUAUAAAUAAUUGUGAAUUUUAUUUUUAAGUUAAAAAGCUUAAAUGAUUUUAAAAGACGAGAAGACCCUUUAGAGUUUUAUAAAAUUUUUAGUAUAAAUUUUUAGGAUUUUAUUUUUAUAUUUAAAUUUUUAUUUGAUUGGGGUGAUUGAAAAAUUUAAAUAACUUUUUUUGUUUGAGUUCAUAAAUAAAUGAAUAAUUGAUCCAUAAAAAUGAUUAUAAGAUUAAAUUACCUAAGGGAUAACAGCGUUAUUUUUUUUGAGAGUUCAAAUCGAAAAAAAAGAUUGCGACCUCGAUGUUGGAUUAAAAUUUAUUUUAGGUGUAGGAGCUUAAAAAUUAGGUCUGUUCGACCUUUAAAAUUUUACAUGA